AUGCAAAUACAUUUUUGAAAAUAAACAAUUGCUGAAUGAUUGAUUACAUGCAGAUUAUAGUCAAAUGACAAAAAUCAAUGUCCAUAACCACAUUCAAAAAUGAUACUUGAAUCUAAUCCCUUACCAGAAAAUUCUGAAAAUGUAGUAAACUCUCUUGAAAAGGACGAACAUAAAUGGGAUUUAACUCAUUGUGAUGAAUUUGUAGACUGAUAUUUAUCUCCUCGUAAAAAUCCAUUGUUUUAUGAACCAAAUUAUCUUGACCCAAAUUAAAAUGUUAGGCAGAACUAAUCCCACAUUAAUCAGAAACCAUCCCGCAUAAAUCAAAUAUCAAAUACACUAUAAUUACUUAUAAUCAAUUAAAAACAGUCCCAAAAGAAUAAGAACAUGGCUAAAUUGAAAAACAUACAACAGAACAAUAACACACCAUACUAAUUACAAAAACAAAUGAGAAACAUCCUAUACCAAAAACGGAAAACACCAAGGAACCUCUGAUAGACAAUGGACGGUGAUCAGGAAACUAAUAAUGAAACCCCAAUGAUAGUGGAAUAUAGUAACGCAAGGAGCAAAACAUGCAUCUAAAAACAACCUUCCAAUUGGACAUUUCCUAACUUGAGAACAUAACCAUUAGUUGAUCACCGUAAACUGUAAAAACACAUCAUCAUCCAAUCAAAGCAAAAACGCGAAAAACAGAACACUAGAAACCCAAAAAACAGAACAGGAAUGUAAAAAAUGAGAAGACAUACCAAAGACCACUCUUUCCAUUCAAAUCGACAAACGAUCUCCUCCUUCUUCGUUCCUACGUCUUCGGUGAUUGUAUUUAAUCGCUUGGAAGAACCUGCCAUGAUGUAGACGGUGGUUGUAUUGCAAUGAACUGAUUUUUUGGGGGG
rnacentral:lncRNA from 1 species